rnacentral:rRNA from 1 species
AAAAUUUUAUUAAGUUAUUUUUUUUGUGAAAAAACAAAAAUGAGAUAAAGGGACAAGAAGACCCUAUCAAACUUAUUUUAUUUUAUGUAUUGUUUAAAUAUAAAUAAUGUGUUAGUUAAAAUUUACUGGGGCGGUAGGUAUAAAACAUUAUUUAUAUAUAAUAUUUUUAAUGGCUUAAUAUAAGGAUCCAAAAUUGAUUGAUAAUAAGAAGAAGUUACUGUAGGGAUAACAGCGUAAUAUUUUUUGAGAGUUCAUAUUGACUAAAGUUUUGCGACCUCGAUGUUGGAUUAAGAAAUCCUAUUGACGCAGAAUCA